GGGUGAUUCUUUUUUUGUGGCAACAUUUAAUGUCCACAUGUUUGUCCUGCCCUGAUUUUUUUCUAAAAUGUUCAAAAUAUUUACAACAAAGUACUUUAGUUAUGCACUUAGGUGUUUGCCAUCAUUUAAACAUAAAUAAAAUGUAUUUCAGAUAUUAGACCGCUUUACACAC